GGCGACGUGGCCAAGUGGCUAAGGCAAGGGUCUGCAAAACCCUGAUCAUGGGUUCAAAUCCCAUCGUCGCCU
rnacentral:tRNA from 2 species